UGGGGAAUAUUGCACAAUGGGGGAAACCCUGAUGCAGCGACGCCGCGUGAGCGAUGAAGUAUUUCGGUAUGUAAAAGCUCUAUCAGCGAAGGGAAGAAAAUGACGGUACCUGACUAAGAAGCACCGGCUAAAUACGUGCC
rnacentral:rRNA from 1 species